UCCUAAAUUCAGAAAUAAACAAUACGUGGUGUGCAGAAGGAACCUAAGUCAAAAGAAAGAUUAGACACAAAUACACCUGCAUGAAUUGUAAUGUCAUUUGAUUAUUAAUUUUGAUAAAACGAAUAUUUUAAGUAGCAGGCAUUCAGUGCUUUCCUCCUGACUGCCAAGACAUCCUGGGUUCUAGGGACACAACGUAAAAGACGUGGUCAUUGUCUUCUAGGGGAUUCAGAGGGAAGGUCAGCCCCUCACCUGGAAACCAGCAAUGCGACCAGGGUACAAGAUGCUCAGGGCAGCAUGGGAAAGCGCACCUGCCUGGAGCAGCUCCUGCUUCCAGAACUAUCCUGCCUGCUCACCACCUGCGGGGGUUGGCAGCCAGCCUCACUCAUCUGACCUCUGAGGCUCAGGGUUACGGUCUGUUACCGGAUGGGGAUGGAUUCUACCUUCCGUUGCUCACAGUGGUGUCUAUGAGGAUUUUAUGAGACCUAUGAGAAUGACACACAAUGGGUAAGAUACAAAAAAAAUAAAUAAAUAAACCAGUCUUGUGCAGGGCUCGGGGAGAGAGCACACCGUUGUGGUUGCUCUUGUGGCAGAGUUAUUUUUACAGGCAACUGGAAUUUAAGAUGGACCUUUAAAGAACACGAGAGCAGAGGGGUCCUAAGAGUUAUUCCAGGCAUGGAUAACAAAGGCUUAAAAGUAGGAGUGCCAAAGAUACUUUUGCAAGACAGAGCAUCUUUAGACUUAAGGUUUAUCAUCAUAAAUGCAGUGAGCAUCUAUGGGGUCAGUGGGGAGGGCAGCCAAUGUUACCUAGAAAUUUUCUAACACACCAUUUUGCUACAGAGCAUUGAAAAUGAUCAUGGGACAAUGCCACACCAGAAGUUCAUCACACGUUAAUGCCACAGGUCUGUGUCUGCAGAUGACCCACCGCCCAGCCCUCUUUUCCAGUUACUGUGGUAAGUCUAACCUCCUCUGGGAAGCCCCUGUCUCAGCUCAGCCCUCUCCAGUCAUGUUAACACUCUCGUGUUCUUUGCUUUUCCUCCUUUUCCCGGGGAUGUAUCAUGUGCCCCCAGCUGGAUGAUAACAGCCCUUGAAGUUGGGAAGGCUUUCUAGUCCUGUCAGCUCCCAGAGCCUGCCGGAGGGUGGGCCCCAGGCUGGGGCAGUGGUGCUGGCCAGGACCAGGUCCUCCGUAACGGUGUCUGAAUACGCACGUCACGCGGUCUUGAUUUUCUGCCCGACUAAAUGUUUUACUCCUGCUCUUCCAGUGCAACCUUUUCCUUCCAGCAGACAACUUGUUUCCUGUGGACUGUUCGUGGCCCCUCUAGAACGUCUAGAGCAAUACUUCUCAUCAGUGAAAGGGGGCUGGCAUGACUUAGCUGCUGGGGAAACGGUUUCGAAGCACACAGGCGUGGCCCCCAAGAAGACUCCAUUCACUCGGGAUUCUGACUCAAUAUCCCAGUGGCCACCUGGAGAUGGAAUGGUUUCUACUGCACCUGAAUAACAUGCCGGCCGCUGGCCCCGCCUCUCUGGCAGCAGAGCCCUGGAGCCGUGGCUUCUGGAUCCGAGGUCAAAUUCACCCCUUUGAGGAUGCUUCUCUAGGAGGGAGUGCCGGGCCCCAGGCUGUCCCUCGGCCAAUGUGGGAAGCAGGUGAGUUUGUCUUGAGCCUCUUCCUAUUUCCCACUCACCAGUUCCCUCCUACAGCCCAGCCUCUCAUACACAGGAGGAAAGCCAGUAACUCUCUAGAAAAAUUCUCUUUUCCAAAGAGACUCACGUUAUAGAAGAACCUACAGUAGGAGGCUGCUGGUGGGCAUGGCCUUCUACCUAAUUUCCCAAGAGCCUGUUUACGUGUCUUUCUGCCCCUUUCUGUUUGUCUGUAACGAGCUUCUGAAGGGGGAGGGUUGUGUCUUAGUCACCGUUGCUUUUCCGGUGCUGACACAGACAGAGAUGUUUAUGAACGAAUGAAUGAAUACACGAGUGAACGAGCGGACGCACGCGGAGAGUGGCGGAGGCAAAGUCGGCACUUAGGGAAAUCUGAAAAUUACAAGAAAGCAGAAAAGAAGCAAACGAGAAUUAAGCAUCAUUCUAUCACCCAAAGAUGAUCAUAGGUGUUACACGGACAGACACACCGAGGAAAGGCCAUGUGAGGACACAGUUAAGAAGGUGGCCAUCUGCAAGCCAGGAAGUGAGACCUCACAGGAAACCAGACUGGCUGGACCCUUGGUGCUGGACGUCCAGCCUCCAGAACUGUGAGAAAAUAAGUGUGUGUUGUUUGAGCCCCCAGCUUGGUAUUUUGCGAAGGCUGCCCGCACUGGCUAAGACAUGUGGAGGCAGAUGGAGCCUUCUGGCUGGAGGUCAUGACCGUGCUGUGCUUGCUGCUGAACGUGAGGGAACAGGCUCACAGACUGAAAUCGGAACCUUCUCAUAUCUGGUCCUUUGCAGUCACUGCCUAACAGGUUUCAGUCUCUUAGGAAAGAGUGAAAUGAGCACUGCGCUGGGCUUCAGUUCAUGUCUCCGGUCCACCCCGCAGGGUGACCGACUUGUCUGGGUUUGUCUGGGGUUAGCACUGCAAGUCAACCUCGGUCCCUGGCAAAUCCAGAUGGCCGGUCACCCUGCCGCCCAGUCAUCUGCCCUGGAUAUCUUCAUUUUAAUAACCUGGUUUAUGGAUAAUCUGGAUUCACUUUCGUCUGAAAUUACUAACUGCCUUUAGAGUGCAUCUCUUUCCCUGCUCAGGUGGGGCAUCCCAAGGGCAGAGCGGGCUGCAGGCACCAGCUCCACUGGGAACAGUCUUAACAUGCCGAGAUCAGAUAUUUGUCAGGAACCCAGGUGAAACCUGGAAGACCACUGCUAACAUCUGGUGAUCCAGUAACACCAGUGCUCUGAUCGGCUGGUCACACUAACUCUGGAGAAGUAAGACGCCUGAAAAGCUGGGACUUGGGACCCGAGAAAAUUGUGGUAGGAAAAUCAGAAAGCUCCCGGGCUGGUGGCUGAGUUGGGAAACUCCCGAAGAGGAGCUCCUAGGGGAACUGAAUUGCAUCCCGGUCCCUAAGGCCUGGCUUUGAUGCUCAGAAAGGAAGGAUGCCCCUGCAGGGGGCGCAGGAAAGGGUGGUCUGAUCCCAUUUCUAGUGGAGCCGCCUUUGGGACUGUCAGCUGCUCCUGUGACCCCUACCAGCUUUGAUCUCCAGGACAGGCCAAAUGGACCCCUUCGAUUGCCCUGAAAUCAUAGUAUUUAUUUACGUCUAUAUCAUAUCUGCAGACGCGUAUUAUGCGGGUUUCCUCUGCUGUGUUUCUUCAGCUGCACUUACAUAAUUUAUUCUGCCAGGCUGGGCCUGUCCUUGACAUACCAAACCAUGAACUUGAAACCAGAAAAGUUCUGUGAGGCCUGUGCAGUCUUUCCUCUGACUGUCAGGCCCGAUGCUAGCUGGAAAUAGAGCCGCUGGGCUGGGAGAGGAAAAAGGAGUGGCCUAAACGGUCAUGGAAAAGUCUAAACAGAAGAUUUUCUUUCUCUCUCCACUUGCAAUGAUUUAUUUUCAUGGUUUUAUGAGACUUUAAUGAGGAAACCUUAUCUGUACGCCUGGUAAUUAUCAACCAAAUUCCCAUUUCCUGUCAGAAAAUCCACAAGAAGUCAAACAAAGAUGGUGGAACUUGGGGGACUCCUUGGCCCCAUGACCCGUACGGCUGAGGAAUGACUUGGGGCCGCCCGGGGUAUGUGGCAACGCAGCACGUCUGUGACUCGUCUUGUAUACGGCUGCUCUGCUGGACUUCAGUUUAGAGAAUUCAGUGCAAGCUAAGGUGCCAUGGUCCUCCUGUGUGCUGUCCCGCGAGGUAGCUGAUCUGAGCGAGGGAAGUACAAUUGCCCUCUUUCUGAUUUACUGUAAUUUGUAGUCUGGUCGAGUUCCUUCUGCUGGGUGGAUGAGGUCACACCCGAAACAAAGGCUGGACAAGAUGUUAUUUAUGAACUUUGCAUUUUGAAAAGUUGGGUUUUGGGGGGGAUUUUUUGCUUGCUUGCUUGAUUUUGGGGCCACGAAUCUCAGCUCUUGCCUAAAAAUAAAGAAGCUAUAAUUUGGGUCACGCACUGAAACUGGCAUGAUUCAGGCCAUAAGGAUGGUUGCCCCCCAGAUCUUGGAACUCAAGCAGAGAGCUUGUCAAACCUCCCAAACGUCUAGGAUGGAAGGUACACGUAAGAGAAGCUCUAAAGAGCUCGCCAGAAGGAUGGAGGCCCGGAAGAGUGUCAGAAACUUUUCAGAAUUUUAGGGCGCCCUAGCGCCCAGAGCAGCCAGGAAGCCAGAACACAUCUGAAUCUUUAUUUUCAGUUCCAGUUCAGUUAACAAGGUGAGA